rnacentral:rRNA from 1 species
UACGAAGGGGGCUAGCGUUGCUCGGAAUGACUGGGCGUAAAGGGCGCGUAGGCGGCUUGCACAGUCAGGCGUGAAAUUCCUGGGCUCAACCUGGGGACUGCGCUUGAGACGUGUGGGCUUGAGUGGGGAAGAGGGUCGUGGAAUUCCCAGUGUAGAGGUGAAAUUCGUAGAUAUUGGGAAGAACACCUGGUGGCGAAGGCGGCGACCUGGUCCUUGACUGACGCUGAGGCGCGAAAGCGUGGGGAGCAAACAGG